rnacentral:lncRNA from 1 species
CUGUGCUUUCUGCUUCUAGGUCUCCAAACCAGUGAACAUGCCAAGUUUUAUGCCUUCUCAACCAGGUUGAAGCAUUCAGCAAUGAGAAUGAGACCUUGGUGUUUCAGUUUUCAGUAAAACACAAGCAAAGGAAGUAUUGUGGUGGCGGAUAUGUAAAACUCUUUCCUGCCACCCUGAACCAGGAGGAUAUGCACUCAGGAUCCAAGUAUCACAUCAUGUUUGGCCCUGACAUUUGUGGCUUUGGCAACAACAAAGUACAGGUCAUCCCUCAUUACUGAGAGAAAUACCAUGAGAACAAGACCAUCAAGUGCAGGGCUGGGGACAGAGUGGGCCAGACAUGGCCUUUGACUUCACAGAACUCACAGUCAAUGAAGGUAAGAGUCAAGCAAAGUGACUACCUAGUAUGCUGGGCAUCUGUGGGAGCACAGAAGAGGACCCCUACCCAACCUGGAGGCUAAGGAAAUACUUCUUAGAUCAAUAAAGACCCUCACCUGUACACUCUGAUUAUUCGCCCCAAUGCUACUUAUGAGGUUAAAAUUGACAACCAGCAGGUGGCAGCUGGGGCUCUGGAGGAGGACUGGGACUUCUUGCCUCCCAGGAAAAUAAAAGACCCUACGCCCAGAAACCAAAGAAAUGGGAUGAACGCCUGCACAUAGAGGAUCUGGAAGACAAGAAACCUGACAUCAGAGGGCAUUUGGCUGGGAAGCAGGUGGGAUCUCAGCUGUGGAGAUAGGAGAAGGAGGCUGGGAAUGAUGGAGCAGAGACUGGGGACAUCAAUCCCUCAAGGAGUUGUUCAGCUAGAUAUUGUUUUCCAAAGAGGCAUGGAGGGAAGAGGGCAGCCACUCACCUUUGUUGGGGAUCCAGCAGCCUCUGUGAACAAUGUGUUAUGAUCCCUCUUUUGUGGAUAAGGAAACUGAUGCUUAGAAAAUGAAGUAACUUGCCCAAGCAUACAUGCGUUAGAACCAAGAUUUGAACCUACAUCUUUUUGACUCUUAAGUUAUCAAUAUGGGGAAUGUGUGGAGUAUACUCAUUGGCUCAUUAUUAUUAUUCUGGAAAGCUGUACUGGAUAUAGCUAUGAAUAGAACAACCCUUGCCCUCUAGGGAUUCUGAAUAUAGUAAGGGAGGCAGAUAAGAAAACAAAGAUCAAAAUAUGUGAUCAGUGCUGAGAGCCAGGGAGGCAAGCCAGUGAGAGCCCAAAAGCGGAUCCCAGCCCAGCCUGAGUUGAGGUGUAGGCAGUGGUCUGAGAAAGAGAAGGAAAUGCUUGAGUGAGUGAGUUAACCUAGGAGUUGGAAACAUAAACUCUGGGGUCAGGCUGAUAUGGGUUGGAGCACCACCUUUUUCUAACUAUGGGACCCCAUCCUACUAGCAGUUAACUCUGCACAAGGAAUAUAACUGCUGUGAAAGUCAACUUCACAAACAGGUAUUAUUUUAAUACUUACGUGUGAAGGUUACUGUGAAGAUUAAAUGAGCUAAUAAAAAAUACAUAAUGUAGUGUCUGGUAUAUAGGAAGUCCUUAAUGUAUGGCCUUUAUAUGUUAAUAAUAUGCUGAAUUUCAAAUAAUAGAUUUAUUAGAGAAAAGUAAGAGGGAAACUGGGGUGGAGGGAAGACAUUCCAGACUCAGGGAACAGCAGGAGCAAAGGCACAGUGGUUAGUUAGGAAAUAACAUGGUGUGUAAAAAACUGACAGCAGUAGUUCAGUAUUUGGGGAACAUAAGGUUCAAGGUGGGGCAUGGUAGGAGAUAAGGUUGGAAAGGUCUGUUGGAGCCAGGCCAGGAAGGGCCUCACCCACCACAUUGCUACUCUGCAGGUCAGAGCAGAGUCAGUGUCAUGCAGAAGAGAUGCUUGAGGUCAGGCAGGGGUCAGCAUGGGACCAGGUAACUGGAGUCCAGCCCCUAAAGAGAGGCCUGCAGAGAGACGGGCAGUUGCCUAGCCACGUGUAGGGAGAUUUAGCAAAGGGCCCCAAUCCUUGGUGGAGGGAGGUGUAGUAAGGGAAUUAAGGCAGAUGAUCAGGCAAAGUGUCUGGGCCUUCAGCACCAUGGAAAAAUAAGGGGCUGGGUUGCUGCCAUGCCCAGAAGGCAGGCUUAGGGUAGGAAGACUAAACAUGGACCCUCCCCUCCUGGUGAGGACCAUGCACCUGAUGUAGUCAGGGUUGGCUUGGCUCAAGGACUUGGGGAGAGUAGAGAGGCUGCAGGCCUCUAUGCUCCCUGUUGAGUGGAACAAGGGAAGAUGGAAACUGAUUAAAUCAACAGGGCACUGUCACAACUAUAGCCCCCAGGAUAGGAUGCUGUCUGUCUUAGGAAUCAUAAAACGGCUAGAACAGGCUAGGAACCAGAGAACUUUCCCAAUCACAAUUGUGUUGAAUGACUGUGAAUUUGGUGGGCUGGCAUAGAAGCCUUCAGUCAUUCUGGACAAAUGGUCACAACCAAAGCAAACUGCCAGGCAGGCAGAGCAAAGCCUUGGAGGCUCCACAGCAUAGAAAUAUAAAAGUUGGGGUAGGCUGUUUUUGAUCUUGUAGAUCUCUGUCUUAGGAAAUCAGAGGGUCCUGGGGUACAAGGAAGGACUGACACAGGCCUGGGAGCAUACUGGGAUACAAAGCAGGUCACCAAGAGGCCUUCAAGAAGAGGGACCUAGGCUAAAAUACCUAUUAUAACAAUAAGGGCCCAUGAUUGUGGGGGAGGGUGUGGCCAGAGACAAGGGAAAUUCCCAUCUUACUUAAGCUUAAAGAACUCAAGGUCAAAAUGAUAGUGAACCCAGAGGAGGGAUUGGAAGUGCUUAAAGCCUCUUUCUUUUCUGCCCUGCAUUUGUUUACAGGUCCUGAGCUGGACCUUCAUAUAGAUGAUGAUGG